rnacentral:rRNA from 1 species
UCGCACGAAGGUUUCGGCCUUAGUGGCGGACGGGUGAGUAACGCGUAGGAAUCUAUCCGUGGGUGGGGGAUAACUCUGGGAAACUGGAGCUAAUACCGCAUGAUACCUGAGGGUCAAAGGCGCAAGUCGCCUGCGGAGGAGCCUGCGUUUGAUUAGCUUGUUGGUGGGGUAAUGGCCUACCAAGGCGAUGAUCAAUAGCUGGUCUGAGAGGAUGAUCAGCCACACUGGGACUGAGACACGGCCCAGACUCCUACGGGAGGCAGCAGUGGGGAAUAUUGGACAAUGGGGGCAACCCUGAUCCAGCAAUGCCGCGUGUGUGAAGAAGGUUUUCGGAUUGUAAAGCACUUUCGGCGGGGACGAUGAUGACGGUACCCGCAGAAG